ensembl:lncRNA
UUUUUUUUUUUUUUUUUGAGACGGAGUCUCGCUCUGUCGCCCAGGCUGGAGUGCAGUGGCGGAUCUCAGCUCACUGCAAGCUCCACCUCCCGGGUUUAGCCAUUCUCCUGCCUCAGCCUCCCGAGUAGCUGGGACUACAGGCACCGGCCACCUCACCCGGCUAGUUUUUGUAUUUUUAGUAGAGACGGGGUUUCACCGUGUUAGCCAAGAUGGUCUCGAUCUCCUGACCUCGUGAUCCGCCCGUCUCGGCCUCCCAAAGUGCUGGGAUUACAGGCUUGAGCCACCGCCCGGCCUAAGACUUUGGUUCACUUCUAACUCUACCACUUAAUACGGGAGCUUGAGUAAGGUGCCCCUGUAGUUCUGUCAGCUCUCAAAUCACUACAAUCAUGCUUUUGUUGCCACCAUUGUCUGAAUUCACACUUGCCAAAGUCAACAAAUCUGGGGCCAUCCUACUCACUCUCCCAACAACAUCUGAUACACUUGGUCACUCCCUCCCUCCUUCCUUUGUUUUCUUCAGGGACACUACUCUCUACAGGUUUCCUUUGUAUCUAAUGGGCUUCUCCUGAAGUUUAAAUGUUGAAGUGCCUCAGGGCUCAAUCUUUGACCCUCUCCUUAAUCUAGACUUAUCACCUAUUACCUCCUGACUUUAAAUACCGUCUAUAACCAAUGAAGAUUCCCAAACUUCUCUUGCUGGCCCCUAACUUCUGCCCUGAGCUCCAGGCUCAUGAAUUCAACUGCUUAUGGGACAUCUUCUCUGAGAUCUUUAAUAACUCUCUCUAAUACGUACAAAAUGGAGCUCUUGUUCUUACCCCUAAAGCCUGUCUCUUCCAGGCUUCCCCAUCCAGAAAUUGCACCACAUGUCAUUCAGUUAUUUGGGCCAAAACUGAAAGGUCGUCCUCUUUCUCCAUUCCUCCUCCCCAAUCAAUCCAUCAGCAAGCUAAGUCUGCCUCAUUUUUUCAUUCAUCUGUUCAACAAAUAUAUUUAUUGAGUGUAUAGUAUGUGCCAGGCACUCUUCUAUGCUCUUGGGAUACUACUGAAUAAAAUAAAGAUCUCUGAUUACAUUUCUAGCAAGGGAGAUGAUACUAUAGAUAAAAGAAAAUAUAGAUCAAGUUUAAAAGUAUAAAAAGGACAGAUUUUAGUACUAAAUGAUGCCUCAGUAAAGUGAAAUUCAAGCAAGAUUAGUUUUGGCCACAUGGAUUUCCAGGAGAUGGGCCUUUAUCUAGCAUAAGAAACAGCUGGAAUAAAGCCCUAUGGCAGGAGUGUUCUGACAUACAUGGGAAACAAACAGGAAGGAGGCAAGUGGGGCUGGGGUGGCAUGAGUGAGCCAGAGUUGUGGGAAAGGUGAAAAGAGAAGUAAAGCAGGGUCUGGAUUGGGAAAGGUCUUUUAGCUUAUCUUAAAGAUUUUGGCUUCUUCUGUUGAUUUAAAUGGAAGUCACUGCAGACUUCUAAGCACAGUGAUGUGAUCCAACCUACAUUUUAAAAGGAUGACCUGGGCCAGGUGCAGUGGCUCAUGCCUGUACUCCCAGCACUUUGGGAGAGGCGUGAGCCACUGUGCCCAGCCUAUAAAUUUUUUUAAGUUGUUAAAAAAUAAAUAAAUAAAAAGGAUGACUCUGGAGACUGUGCUGAGAAUAACCUGGGCGGGGGGCGGGAGGGGGCGAGCAGCAGAGAAUGGGCAGAAAUGACAGAAGCAGGGAGAUCUAUUAGGAGGUGAUGGUGACUCAGACUAGAGUGACAGCAGUGGAGGUGUGAAAGGGCUGGUUUCUAAUAUAUUUUGGAAAAGAGCCAACAAGUUUUGUUAAUGGAUUGGAGGUCAUGUUUGACAAAUAGAAUUAAGGAUGACUCCAAUGUUUCUGGCUUGAGUUAACUAGAAAGUUGUAAUUGCCAUCAACUGAGACUAAAACAUAACCCAAAUUUGACCACUUCUCUCCACCUCUACCCUGACCAAGCCGUCGUCUCUUCUCCCUGGACCACUGCACUGGC